GUAGUUUCAUCUGCGAUUCCGCGAUGUGAGGAUGUCUCAAGCUUUGCAUCCGUUGGACGAAGAUUCCUUAGACGAGUCGAUAUGAACAGCUGGCGAAUAGGAUUUGGCGCUUUUUUGUCUAUUAUGUUGGCAGGCGUGAUCGGUGUUUUAGAAGCAGCAGAGAAUGGUCAGCCUGCUUCCUAUCAGGUGCAUCCCUCAUCGAUCGCUUCGCUUAAGGCAGCUGGUGCCAAAGCACCUGAUGAUGAUGACGAUGAUGAUGACGAAGACUACAAGGAUGAUGGAGGCCUAGAUGAUGAUGGCAGAAUUUACAAGAAUCCACGAAACUCGCCGAGUCCUGAUUGCCCCAGAGACGAGGAACUAGCUCUCUUCUUGGGACAAAAAUGUCUCAGGAAAUGCUCUUCCGAUGAGGAUUGCAAGAGCAAAAAGAAAAAGUGCUUGUGCGACGGAUCCUGCGGCCUCUCAUGCAUCAAACCUGAAAGAGAAUGCCCCGCCCUGGAGAAUCCGACUCUGGGUAGAGUGGUGGUGUCAGGAAAACUGUUUCGAGACAAGGCCACCUACACGUGUGAAGCCGGAUUUCAUGUGGUCGGCCUGAGGGAGAGGACAUGUCAAGCGGAUGGACAGUGGUCGGGAGGUGCACCCACUUGCAAGCAGAAUGUAUACUGCAAGUCUCCCCCGGAAAUGGAACACGCAAGACAUAAUGCAUUUCCAGAGCAACUGACUUUUGACUUGGAUGCAACCAUCCAAUAUCAAUGCUCUCAUGGAUUCGUCACCAAUGGAUUUCCCACUGCUAAAUGUCUGGCUAUGGAUGGAGCAACUGCCUCCUGGUUUGGGCCCGAUAUAUCUUGCGAACCUCGAUCAUGUGGUGCACCCCAAGACACAGCUCAGGGCUGGCAUGCAGGUGAAUGUUACACAUAUGGAUGUCGGGUCACCUAUCACUGUGCUGAUGGUUUUGAGCUAGUUGGGCGAAAUGAACGAUUUUGUCAAGCUGAUGGCUCAUGGACACCUAAAGAGCUUCCUGCCUGUGUGCUGGUUACAGCGGUGCAGUGUCCUCAGCCUGACCAGCCGGUUAACGGCCGCGCCAUAUUCACAUCGUGCUCCUAUAAUUCAGUUGUCAGCUACGAGUGCAAGUACGGCUACACGCUGAUUGGAGACACCACGCGCAGAUGUGGCGCCGACCGCAAGUGGAGCGGAAUCGCGCCAAAAUGCCAAGAAAUUGACUGUGGCCAUCCCGGCCCAUUGUACAAUGGAUGGCUUGAGAACAUCGAAGCAGGUACGGGACUGGGAGCAUCCAUCAUCUUCAGGUGCCACGAAGGAAUGCUUCUUUUGGGUAAUACAUCGACAGUUUGUCAGAUCGAUGGCAAGUGGCGCUAUCCCUCACCGUUGUGUCUAGCUCCAUGCGUGGUUCCGCAAGUGACACAGGGGAAAGUGAUCAUUGAUGUAAAUGCAACAAGGCCAAAUAUGACUUCUACGGGAGACUCUGUGAUGGUGUCUCAUGGCGAUCACAUCUCUUUGGAAUGUGAGGAGCGUUAUGAGCCAGCCUUGAACAACACUCCUAUAACAUGCAAUAAUGGAACAUGGUCUUUCAUACCUCGCUGUCAGCCAGCUCGAUGUAAAUACAUGGCCAAGGCACCAAGAAACGGAAUGGUGUUUGCUCCUAAAACUGAGCAUGGGAUGAAAGCAAGAUACACGUGUAAAGACGGCUUCACACUUCGGGGAGAGAGCACCACACUUUGUCAUUUUGGAAAUUGGACUGGUGAACCGCCUUAUUGCCAAGAAGUUUACUGUCCCUUCCCUGGAUAUGUUGACAAUGGAAAAGUUCUACUAGUUGGAAAUAUGGGCCUCUACGAUUAUCGGCCUUAUGUACGUAAAGUAACCAAUAACAAGCAGAUAAUGUAUGAUUGCAAUCGUGGCUAUGUAUUGGCUGAUGGGCCUCCAGGAGCUACUUGCGUUGGAGGGCAUUGGAGUCCAAAACAACUUCCAAGAUGUGUACCCGGCCAGCAUCCACGUUUACGAUGGAGUCGUUCUGUCAGAUCAAAAAGAGCUGCAAAAUUUAGAAAAAUAUUCCGAGCCAUCAGCUUGCGCACUCUAAUGCGAGCGAAGCGAGCUCUGUCUGGCUCCAGUAGUACGCAUGUAAUGCGUAAAACAUCAACAGGUUCAUCAUCUUCAUCCUCUAAACCGGGAGCGGCUGGCAGUGGAAGAGCGUCCCCUACCACGAAACCUGGAGAGAAAGGAGGAGAAGGCGGUGAAGAUGACGAAAAGGAGAACGAAGAGAAUGGCAACGGUCAGGAGGGUGGAGCGACCAAAGAAGGAAGAAAGAAAGCCAAAGGAGGAGGAAAGAAGGCCAAACAGGGCAACAGAACUACAUCUGCUGUAAGUCGAGGAAAAGGUGCUCCAUGUGAUUCAUUUGUCGAGGAGAAUGUGGAGUCAACAACUAUUCUGAAAGAAGGCCGUGAUUCGAAUGUGACAUAUUCUACUGGUGUCAUCAUACGUGUUACUUGCUCCCGGGGCUACUCGCUCAAUAUUGGUGAGAACGUGACAGCGAGGUGUAUUCGUGGAAGAUGGAAACCUGACAAACCUCAUUGCCGGAUAAAACCAUGUAGCGUGCCCGCCAGUGAACAUGGUAUUUAUACAAGGUCAUCAAACGGCAACGGGGAUUCGGCGAACGGAAACUCUAGUAAAACAGCUGGAAUGGUACUGAAUGAAACAACAGAAGUGGCUCACAAUCAAGUGGUGGAAUUCUCGUGCUCGGUUGGCUACAACAUCCAGGGCCCCGCUAAUCUCAAGUGCUGGUACGGAGUGUGGGCUGUUGCAUCGUUGCCAGAUUGUUCACCUGCACCAUGUGAGCUACCACACAUCAGCCAUGGACAGUACCUGUUGGGGUACAGAGCUGGACUUACCAUUGGCAAUGGAUCUUCAGUUACUUAUCAGUGCGAUGCUGACUAUCGUCCCACUACUCAUGAGCCACUCAACUGUGUACUGGGCGAACUAAGGCCUCGGUCUCCUUCUUGCAAAAAAAGAUGGAGGCGAGUAUAUAACAGGGGGAGACAUCACGAAAGCGGGGGGUGAAAUGGGUGCUGUCGACUACCUGACAGGACUUCGCGGCUCGUGUGGCCCCCCGGCCCGGGUUCAGGGCUCCCUUGUGUUCCGCAACGGAGAACCACUGGCCGAAGCUGAACGCAGUUUCCCUGACGGCACAGAGGUCACCUUUAAUUGUAUCGCUUCCAUAAUGGGAGAAAGGAACUCGUGGAGGAUUGUGUGUGAGGACGGUAGCUGGCUCGGACGGGCUUUGUCUUGCGAUGUUGAAGACCCACAAGACUCAACCAGUACCGUCAAAGAUAAUUCGACUUGUACGUUUAGAAACACUGAGCCCAACGUCUCCACAUUUUAUAGAGAUCAGCCGGUUACUGAAGAACAAGUCGAGUUUCCUUCAGGUGCUAUUCUGCUUUUCAGAUGUGCUGACAUAGGAAAGUAUGCAAUGAUAGGAUCUCAGAGACGAAAAUGUUCCCAAGGCGAGUGGGAUGGUCAAAGGCCUGUCUGCUUUGGACUGAAUCAGGAGAAUGACUACGCAUUGGAGAAACCACCUACAAUCUUGUUCCGUCAUCAGCUCGGUCCAAUAGCGCAGAGUAAUCAGGGUACCCUAAUAGUUUACCCUGGUACAAUUCUUCAUAUGGAAUGCUUGUGGAUUAGGCGUUUCGGCACACCUAAAUGGGCAGUCUCUCAUAAUUAUCGGAAGUAUCCAGAAGGUUGGUCGAGUGAUCCUGGAAGAGAUUCUCAACUGGAGUACAGACUCAGCAUUUUCCAUGCAAGUAGAGAUGAUUCAGGCACAUUCACGUGCAUCACUCCCACCAGACACACGCAUUCAGUUGAAAUCGAAGUUAAAGCCGUCCACUGCAACCAGUUACCAUCUAGAAGAGGAUUGAAAAUGAGCACAACAAAUACAAAAAUGAACACGAGAGUUAUUCUGACCUGCAACAAUGGCAACUCUCUGAUUGGUGCUCCUGAAUUGGUGUGUCUUCCUUCAGGAAACUGGAGUGCUCCUAUGCCAGUUUGUGAAAGUAUGGAAUGUCCUGACCUGAUAAAUUUGUCUGACCCAAAUCUGCGAGCGUCAAUUUUGAGUCGUGAAGUGGGUGGACAAGUGAUGUUCUCAUGCAGUCAAGGAUUUGGACUGGUCGGUCCAGCUCAUUCCACGUGUCAACCUUCCGGAGAAUGGGCUUCACCUUUACCCACUUGUCGCG
rnacentral:misc_RNA from 1 species